rnacentral:rRNA from 1 species
AUUGAACGCUGGCGGCAGGCUUAACACAUGCAAGUCGAGCGGAGAUGAGGUGCUUGCACCUUAUCUUAGCGGCGGACGGGUGAGUAAUGCUUAGGAAUCUGCCUAUUAGUGGGGGACAACAUUCCGAAAGGAAUGCUAAUACCGCAUACGUCCUACGGGAGAAAGCAGGGGAUCUUCGGACCUUGCGCUAAUAGAUGAGCCUGAGUCGGAUUAGCAAGUUGGUGGGGUAAAGGCCUACCAAGGCGACGAUCUGUAGCGGGGCUGAGAGGAUGAUCCGCCACACUGGGACUGAGACACGGCCCAGACUCCUACGGGAGGCAGCAGUGGGGAAUAUUGGACAAUGGGGGGAACCCUGAUCCAGCCAUGCCGCGUGUGUGAAGAAGGCCUUAUGGUUGUAAAGCACUUUAAGCGAGGAGGAGGCUACUGAGACUAAUACUCUUGGAUAGUGGACGUUACUCGCAGAAUAAGCACCGGCUAACUCUGUGCCAGCCGCCGCUGUAA